rnacentral:rRNA from 1 species
UACAGAGGGUGCAAGCGUUAAUCGGAAUUACUGGGCGUAAAGCGUGCGUAGACGGUUGCGUAAGUCAGAUGUGAAAGCCCCGGGCUCAACCUGGGAAUUGCAUUUGAGACUGCGUAGCUAGGGUGCGGAAGAGGGAAGCGGAAUUUCCGGUGUAGCGGUGAAAUGCGUAGAUAUCUGCAGGAACACCCGUGGCGAAAGCGGCGCGCUGGACCACUACUGACGCUGAAGAACGAAAGCUAGGGGAGCAAACAGG